rnacentral:rRNA from 1 species
GACGAACGCUGGCGGCGUGCUUAACACAUGCAAGUCGAACGGAAAGGCCCUGCUUUUGUUGGGUGCUCGAGUGGCGAACGGGUGAGUAACACGUGAGUAACCUGCCCUUGACUUUGGGAUAACUUCAGGAAACUUGGGCUAAUAACGGAUAAGAGCUCCUGCUGCAUGGUGGUGGAUGGAAAAUUUCGUCGGUCGGGGAUGGACUCGAGGCUUAUCAGCCUGUUGGUGGGGUAGUGGCUUCCCAAGGCUUUCACGGGUAGCCGGCCUGAGAGGGUGACCGGCCUCAUCGGGACUGAGCUACGGCCCAGCCUCCUACGGGCGGCAGCAGUAAGGCAUAUUCCACACUGGGCCGAAGCAUUACGCACCAACGCCGUGUGCCGGAUGACGACUGUCGGGUUGUAGCCCGCUUUCGACUGUGACGAAGCGUGAGUGGCGGUACUGAGUAAAGAAGGCCCGGCUAACUACGUG